rnacentral:rRNA from 1 species
CGAACGGGUGAGUAAUACAUCGAACGUGCCCAGUCGUGGGGUAUAACUACUCGAAAGAGUAGCUAAUACCGCAUACGAUCUGAGGAUGAAAGCGGGGGACCUUCGGGCCUCGCGCGAUUGGAGCGGCCUAUGGCAGAUUAGGUAGUUGGUGGGAUAAAAGCUUACCAAGCCGACGAUCUGUAGCUGGUCUGAGAGGACGACCAGCCACACUGGGACUGAGACACGGCCCAGACUCCUACGGGAGGCAGCAGUC